UACGUUAUUUAUCACAUUGGUUAAAACGCGAUUCUUGAACGUUGUAUCUAUUUCUCGCCACACGAGUCCGUGUUAUUACUAGUGCUUGCAUAAUUACUGCCUACAUGCACGAAACGUUUUUGUAAUUGUGUCUUUUCACCCUCGAGUCGCGCGAUUCUCGACACCAACGAUUGUCUCUGUCCGACGAUGAGCCGAGGACGGCUUGACUCGGCUAUAUUCCUCGAGCUGCUGUAUAAACUCAUCACUGCAACCACACGACAUUCUCGCCCAAGAUACUGAUUCUGCUCUGAUAGCCCGCUUUCCACUUGCUCAAAAUGUUUCAUAUUUUUUAUAAUGUCGUUUUAGCACUUUACUCAUCACAGUAAUCUUUUACAAAGCACUUGCACGCGAUGUACUACGUUAAUUUAUGAUAUCGUUCCGCUCUCUGGAAUUCAGUAAUGUCUAAAUGUGUGAUUAGGAUUCUCAUCAAAAACAUAUUUUGACGUGCAGUCCGUUAAUGCCUAUAGGAAUGGUUACGAAGAAGCACAUCAUAUCCUCGUAUUUAUUAUACAUUACAUACAUUUAUUUAUUGGUUAUUAGACGAAUGUCUUAUAAUCUUAUUCGCAUCGGAAAAUGUUUGGUCUGGUAAAAUAGUCUGUCUUGACCUCGCGAAGAAACUUUUUCUGUAAAUGUCUAGGCCAAUUCUUGUAGUGCUGACACAUCUCGACUUUAGCUUGCCUCAUGAAACGUCUAUCGGUUCCUCGCACACCCCGUUCUCUCUAUCUCGAGGAAAACGAAUGAUGGAUCCGUGUUUUAAUGGUAAAUCUUUUCUGUCGAGAUCUAGGAUGUACCUAAUUUUUUAUUCUUUGCAAGCAGCUUGAUAAUCACUGUCUUUAUAAUUCAUGUUAUAUAGUUUUAUACGAAAACAGUUUUUGCUGUGUGCACACUGGACACAUAUUGCAUGGAAUCAGCACGAACAUAGGUUGUCUGUAAUUCGAACAGUAUUUGCCAUCUAGCCUACCGAACGUCAGUUACAUGUUUGCGAAAGGCGUGCAUUAUGUUGAAAUCUGUGUCUGUUAUUUAUAUUAUAGAUUCGACACACACUGAAUAAAUAUUGCCUGUAGUAUAAUAAAAAUAUAUGGUACACAAUGUCUUGUACGUCCGGUUAUCCCACUCACUUUUGCAUGUGUCAGAUGUUUCUCUAUAGUAUCGUUAAAUUCUUUACUACAAUCACUCGUAUAAUUGCUGUCCUCGGAUUGCUACACUCUCUUCAUCUUCAUCGCCCAUUACAUCCUUAAAGUUAACAUCAUUUAUAAUGUCUAUAUUCAUAUCGUUUUCAUUGUUCGCGAUAUCCAUAAUUUUGGCAUUAUCUGCAAUGUCUGUCACGUUAAUUUACAUUUAUUUGAAUUAUUUUUUUACGUCGCGCUCGGAAUAUAAAAUGGAUCAAAUGUAAUAUCAUGCGGUUCCCAACCAGUUAUAUAUUCUCUUCAUUUCUUUGUCUUAACCGGAGCAUUGCUGUAUCAGCAUUUGCUAUCUAUUGUUCUAGCAGUCGUACAUUUGCGCUUGACUUUUGCAUUCUUCGAAUGCGCGAUUUUGAAUGAUCUCAUCAAAAAAUAUUAAAUGAUUUAUGUACGUGCCUAAAACGUAUUUUGUCACAGCAGCCAUACAUCAGCGCUUGACUUUUGCAAGAUUCUUCGAAUCUGCACAUCAGCGCUUGAUCUCUCACUUAUCAGAAAAUAUGUAUCAAAUGCAUGGGAAACUAUGGAAUUGUUUUUACUAUUUACUGGAAUAUGUGGAAGAGUAUGCAAUAUAAAGAGAAUUCCAAUUUUGUUACCGCAUCACCCGUUUGUUACAAGAUGGACAGCAAAGGUUUCUGAAACGUUAUCGCUCAGUCAAUCUGUUGAAGAUUCUCGAAAAAACAAGAUGAACUAUUACGUUCCGAUCUAACAAAGUGAGGCGUGCGAUAAACCGAGAUAUGCCUUGACUGCCACAGCAUACAAAUAUUUGGAUAUCGAAAUCAGCGUGGGGCCUGUAUUCUAUGUGGAAAUACUGCUUGGCGACAACAAAGGCAAUCAAUUUUACCAUACGCAACAUGGAAAACGGUCAUGGAGCAACGCGUAGAUAUUGACCGAUUUGUGCAUGCAAUUGUGUUUUCAAAAGUUUUGGUUUGUGAUCUGGUUAUAGAACUUGUAAAAAUACGCGACAAAAUAUUGUAAAAUCGAUGUUGCAUGAUAAUUCUAUGUACAUGAAGCCGUUAAUCUUACUGUUUUUAUUCGAACUUGAAGAUUGUGUCGACUAUGUAUGUCAUCAGAUGCAUCAAAAUACGUCAGUAUAGUCAGUGAUAAAUAUAAGCAGUUUAUUACUAUUUUACGUCAAAAUUAUAUCACUAAUAAAAAAAGUGAUGCUGUAAAAUUAUUACGUGAAAAAUAUGAUAAAACUUGUCUCGUAGAGUGUGAGCUAAUUGGUUACGCUUUGGAUAAUAUUGUAUAUGACGUGUUAUGAAACGAAUAAAUGGAAAGAAAUUUAUAAAUAAUGAUUCUAGUUUGUUUUCUCUUUUCCCUAUUUCUUUGUUCCGUAUGCAGAACUGACUGAGUAGCAGGUACAUAGAUAAGAUGAGUGGAAACACAUGUAUGUGAAUGGUAGACUGCGUAUGAAAGAACGAGAGAGAGAGAGAGAGAGAGAGAGAGAGAGAGAGAGAGAGAGAGAGAGUCGAAAUAAUAAUUAGAUCAUAUGGGCGUAUCGGAGGUGAUGGUGGCGAUGGCGGCGGCGGUAGGCGCGGAUCGUGAUUUUUUUCACCCCACCCUGCUGUUCACGGGGACGGUUGCGGGCCCCGAAAACUGAUUGUGGAACAUGAUCCUUCCUUUUCAUUCAUCUCCGCGCACCGCGAGAUCCCCCGAUCCGCGUGACGUUAUGCCCCCGCGCGCCUUUGAGUACCCCUCGCAACUCGCUCCCACCUUGGAGCUCCUAAGUCAGAACCACUUUAUAACCAACUAUUAUACUAAUUUAUUUUUAUUUUAUUUUUUAUUACUUCAUCUGUGUACUCUUUUAUUUUUUUGGCCAAAGAAAGAGUAAGAAAGAAAAUCGAACCAGGCUGAAUUGAGUAAAUCCAGAUUAAUUGUAGGGUAAAGCUGUUAGGGGAGCCCGCUGGUUACAGGAUAGGUAAUGUGGGCGUGAAUCGCCUUGAUAGACAAGUCUGCUGCCCACAGGAAAAAUAAUGUGGGAGUGAAACGUCCUGAUAGGCGAGCCCGCUGCCCACGUUGCGCGGAGGUUGCAGGAAUGACGGUGAGAUCAGUUUAAUUUUGCGUGCGAUUAUAAUAGCGA
rnacentral:lncRNA from 1 species